CAAUAGCGUAUAUUAAAGUUGUUGCAGUUAAAAAGCUCGUAGUUGGACCUUGGACCUGGACAGGCGGUCCGCCUCACGGCGUGUACUGUCUUGCUGGGUCUUUCCUCUUGGUGAUCUGUUGUUUCGGCAGCAGGGAACCAGGACGUUUACUUUGAAAAAAUUAGAGUGUUCAAAGCAGGCUCGACGCCGGAAUAUAUUAGCAUGGAAUAAUAAAAUAGGACGUGCGGUUCUAUUUUGUUGGUUUUUGGAAUCGCCGUAAUGAUUAAUAGGGACAGUCGGGGGCAUUAGUACUCACAUGCUAGAGGUGAAAUUCUUGGAUUUUGUGAAGACUAACUUCUGCGAAAGCAUUUGCCAAGGAUGUUUUCAUUAA
rnacentral:rRNA from 1 species